rnacentral:lncRNA from 1 species
GCUUGAUUUUCAAACAAUACAUAAUAUUGCAAAGAAGAGAUAUGGUUGUUGCAAAGAUUGAAUGAGAAAACAACCUAACAAACUCUUUCACAAAAUCUUUACCGCAGAAGCCCUUAGAAAGACAUGUAGAAGAAUUGGGUGCUAGUGUUGUGGAUUCAUGGUAAUGAGUCUAAGUAAGAGAUUUUUAGGAUAUACUAUAAACCAUGCGAUUUUGAAAUAGUACUAUUUAUUGAAUGAUUAUUUAUUUAUUUAAUUCAAUAAAUCAUUACAUUAAAUAUAUUUUUACCAUAUAUGUGUCCUCAAUAUAUAUAUAGUAGAUAAUUUGGUGUAUAUUAUACACGGAAGAUUAAAUCAUCGAUUCUAAUAAGUUAAAGUUUUAGUUCACAAUCGUAGAUAGGAAUUUGGGCAAACCAUCAGAAUGAUUGUAGCACAAGAUUAUAUGUAAUUUAUCUUGAUUAAGAGAAUGAUAUAGUUCUAACUUAUUCUUCUAGUACAUUUUGUAUGUGUUGAAUGAGAUCGAGUAGAAAUAGUUGUUUUGUACUAACUAAUAAAAAUAUAUUCUCUAGAUUGAUAAAUGUACUUAUAUUCUCAAUCUUGAUAUAACUAUUAUGAUUUGUGUAUAUUCUUUAUCUAUUUGAUUUAUUAAGAUGUGAUAUUCUGAGCUGGGUCAAUAUUCAAAUUGGAUGAUAAUAAUAUAUAUUGGUGAAAUAAUAAGUUAGUUGAUGGAGUUCAUAUUUCGGUAUAGAGAUUGAUGAUACGUCUUUUAUGAGAAGCUUAUAAGUUUUCAUGUGUAUCAUUGAAUUUACGAAUCCGACAUAUGAAAUAAGUGAAGUAUUGCUAUAAAGGAAAUUAAUCAUUAUAUUAAAUUCUUCUAUAAUUUAAUUUAUUGAUAAGUAUCUAUAAUAUUAAUAUGUGAAAUUACAUAAGUAUUUAAUGGAGAAUUUGAAAUAAAAAUAAAGAAGUAAAAUUACAAAUUUUUAGUGAAUAAUUUAUAAUUUACUAUGGUAAGAAUAAUUCAAAUUGGUUUUUUGAAUUACUUCCAUAAUAGGGAGCCUCAAUAAUUAAUUAUGUGGUCCCUACAGUGCCAAUAUUAUACUAGAACUUGAAAUUCUAUUUUCUAUGGGAAAAUAAGAAACCACCUGUGCUUAUUCAAGUAGAAAUAGGCGUGUGUUUUUCUUUCCUCCUUAGACUGGGGAAGUAUCUCUAUCAAUAGAUAUUUCCCUAGCCUAGAAAUUGAAAAACAAAAACAUAGAAAGAAUUCGGUAUUCUAUUCAGUACUUGCCCACCCACGUAUUGAGAGAGUUCAACUGAGAAUUUGGGAUCACUGUAGAAGACUACAGAUUUGAUAAUGGAUUCAGUUGAAAGUAUCUACACAUGCUUCAAGAGGUAUUCCUGAUUAUCUUAAAGCUUUAUUUUCAUGAACUAAGUGUUUAUGUUGGUUGUCUAUAUUACAUGCAAGAGAUCCAGUCUAUUUACUUUCAUUGUGUGUACCUGAUAUUCCAACAAAUAGUUCUCUAAUAGAAUCCAUUGAAUGACUAUGUUAAGGUAUAAUUGAUAUUUUUUUAGCUAAAUGACUGGCCCAAGCCUAUUUUAUUGAUAAAAUAUUUACAAUAAUAAAGUGGGUCAAUCAAAUAAAGGACCAACUCGACAAAAAAUAACAAAAAAAUAAAAAACUCUAUUCUAUUCUAGAAAGCAAUGAAUAAGGAAAAUAGGAAUUGGGAAAGGCUAACGAAUCUCUACAUGUCUCCUUAUCUCAAUGCCAGCUACCUCUUCAGUCAUUUGAAUCUACUCAUCUCAGGUAAGGACUAUAACUAGUGUAAUUGUUUAAGGUUAAAAUCAUUGAGAAUCGAUCUAAUAUUGUUAAACUAACAUAAAUUUCAAAAAGAUUUUGAUCAAUUACACUUUAAGUCACCUAAAUCUCUCACCAGGUAUUGUGUAAUCGAUGCUAGUAAAGUGAAAUUCCAAGUUUGUUUAGUUAUGUUAGCUCAUGGUAGAUUAAAUAUGAGUUUCCAUUAAUUGUAAGCUACUAGUUCUUAGUCUUAUUUAUUCCUUUACAAAGGCAUUAACCUCAUAUAGAUUAAUACUACCUUAAUAUUGAUUUAAACAAUCCUAACUUUUUGGUAAACUUAUAAUUACUCUACUAUUAUUGUUAAACUAUGUAUCAUGUGCAUCUGUUAAUCCUGAUUGUGUUUAAAUUUUAUGGUGUACUUGA